AGCGAACGCUGGCGGCAGGCUUAACACAUGCAAGUCGAACGCCCCGCAAGGGGAGUGGCAGACGGGUGAGUAACACGUGGGAACGUACCCUUUGGUUCGGAAUAACUUGGGGAAACUCAAGCUAAUACCGGAUAAGCCCUUAUGGGGAAAGGUUUACUGCCGAAGGAUCGGCCCGCGUCUGAUUAGCUAGUUGGUGAGGUAAUGGCUCACCAAGGCGACGAUCAGUAGCUGGUCUGAGAGGAUGAUCAGCCACACUGGACUGAGACACGGCCCAGACUCCUACGGGAGGCAGCAGAGGGGAAUAUUGGACAAUGGGGGCAACCCUGAUCCAGCCAUGCCGCGUGAGUGAUGAAGGCCUUAGGGUUGUAAAGCUCUUUUACCCGGGACGAUAAUGACUGUACCGGGAGAAUAAGCCCCGGCUAACUUCGUGCCAGCAGCCGCAGUAG
rnacentral:rRNA from 1 species